AUAAACAAAUCAUGGAAGAUCUUGCAAUGGAGGUUCCAAGAGAAAGUAAGUCAAUAUUGUUAAUGAUUCUCUCUUUUUAUACAUUAUUUUCCGUGAUCUUUGCUUCUUCUCAAUUUGUUCUAUUAUACAGAUUAGUAGCUCAAGUAUUUUUAAUCUAUGGUAUUAUUGUUAGCUGCGUUCAAAAAAGGAAGUUGUACCUUCAUGUAACAAAUAUGAUAUUAUUAUUUCAUGGAUUGGCUAUGACAUGCAACAAAUCAUGAAAGAUCUCUCAGUGGAGGUUCAAAUAGAAAGUAUGUCAACAUUGUUGGUUGUUACCUUUUUUUUACAUUAUUUUGGGUGAUCUAUGCUUCUUCUCAGUUUGUUCUGUUAUACGGAUUAGUAGCUCAAGUAUUUUAUAUAUAUGAUCUGAUUGUUAGCAGAGUUCGGAAAUGGGAGGUGUAAUCGUAUGUGAAGAAUAUGCUAUUAUUGUUUCAUGGAUUGACUGCAACACACAACAACUCAUGGAAGAUCUUGCAUUAGAGGUUCAGAGAGAAACUAAGUCAAUAUUGUUGUUGGUUCUCUCUUUCUAUACAUUAUUUGGGGUGGUCUUUGCUUCUUCUCAAUUUGUUUUGCUAUAUGGAUCAGUAGCUCAAGUGUUUAUAUAUAUAUACACACAUACAAAAAUGGAUGUAGAUAGUCUACCUGUUUUCAUAUCUGAAGUAAUUAUACAUUCAGCAUCAUAUCUUAACACGUACUUGCAUAUUAUUAACAUGUUUGGUCAUUCAUAUUUUCCCUACUUUGCAACAAGUGUCGAUUAAUUUUUCCUUCUCUUUCUUUUGUGUUGAUAUCUCCAUUAUCCCUUCUUGCUCUCAAUUCAAUUUAUUGAUGAGAAGUACUGUACCGACUAAGUGUAUCAACUAUUUUGAUAUUAGUGUCUUGCAGGUUCAACAGAUAAAAUAAUAGUUGUAACAUCAGCAGUUGCACUAGCUGGAGUUUCAUUAUUGGCAAGCAUCGUUUAUGUGGGAAUUUAUACAAAGGAAUAAAAGGUUGCCGCACGUCUCCCGAAGUCUUCUGAUCCAUCUCAUCCACCUGGUCCUGGUAAUUGUAAAUCUCACCUCUUUUUAGUUAUACUUCUCCGGUCUUUCUUUUGUUGUGUCUUUGCUCUUUUCAAAUUUCAAGUUUAAAUUACCUUUUCAGUUAAGUCAACCGUAGAAUUUUUUUGGCAUUAGGGAGGCAUAGCUGCUAUCUCGCUAUCUGCAAACGUAUUCAACAAGACAUAAUGUUCUUGAAAAUUCUACUAUUGGCACCCCCAACGCAGCCCACAUCAUCUUGGUACAGAGACGGUUUUCCCUUUUCCAAAACAGGCUGCACUUAUCAUCUGAGAACCUUCGGAGCUCUUUGAGAAAGGUUUCCUCUUUUAUUAACUUAAUGUUGCCAAUGUGUUCCCUCUGCCAAUGUGUACAAACCGAGUCUGUCUUUGAACAUCUUUUGUAUUUUGUUUGCCAGCUGCAAGUCACCAAGUUCGACCAACUCAACCCCACGACAAGUUAAACAAAGGAAAAAGUAUGCAAUCCUUCGCCCAUUUCUCAAAAAGUAAGCCCGCUCUUUCCAUUAUGUUUUCGUAUGGCCUAUUUAUCGUCGCAUUGUUGUAUAUUUUGCAUUAUUACUAAUUUAACAUUGCCAAUCUAUUUUCUCUAACAACGUGUAUAACACUUAACUUAUCUAACUUUGCCUACUUACAUUUUAACUUCAACCUUUAAACAUGUUAUGUAUUUUGAUUACUAGCUGCCAGCCGCGAUGUCAGACUCAAUUCCUGCGCAAUUUAGAUAAAGGAAAGCAAGUAUGCAGCCUAUUCACUAUCUUUGAAACAGGUAAUCCAGCUCUUUGCCUUAUAUUUUUCAGUAUGGCAUAUUGAUCAUCACUUUAUUGUAAAUUGUGAUUGUUUGCACAUAAGGGUGCAUGUUGGAUGUGUCUACUCAGCAUUAUGCGGCCUUAAAUACAGUUCCAAUCGAAAGGUUUGUGCUAAAUUGAUACUCCAAUAAUAUCUACUUCACCUAUUACUGAACAGCGAAGCGAGUAAUAUGAUUCUAAAAAAAGUUCCUAACUGUUCAUAUUGUGGCACACAAAAAUUUGAAUACAAAAGAAGAAUCUAAACAUUUUCGAACAUAGAUUAGAACAUACAAUAAUAUGUUGAACACAUUGCUUGGUGUGAAGUACGAUAAAAAAAAUUGUGAAAAGAAAUUGUGGUAUGUACAGAUUUAGAGAACAAGGACAUAUGUAUCAUUUCAUAGAUGAUUUAGUCGCUUCCAACGAAAAACCCAACAACUUACAAUUAUACUUUUCUGAUCAUGAGAAUGAAUUGGCUAGCAGAAUGGCCAAAAAACCCCAAACUAUUAGAGGCAAGGCUAAUGACAAAAAGGGUCUAAGAAGUCAUGGUACUUACUCCCUCUGUUUCAUCUUCGAUUUACUUAAACUAAUACUCAUUAUUAUAUAAUUAAAGUUUAAAGUUACAAUUUAUGAGUGCAGUAAUUUUAAUAGCAUCAAUUGUUGAGAUUUUUACUGGUAAAACAAAAUACAUACUAAAAUACUUUAGCAGUACAAAAAGAAAUAUCUAUUCAUAAUAUCUUGAGAUUGUUUCCUAUUAAGCUAUUCAAAGAAGGAAACAGUGUGAUUGACUUGUCUUUUUGUUUACCUAUUUUGAUUAAAAUAAAGAUAUUCUCCUUCACUCCACAUUAUCAUUUUACUUAACAAAAGAAACAAUAACUUGUGUACCGAAAGAGGUACCAUUUUCUCAUGAAUUUAUCUUGAGUUGAGAUUCUUUGGUCAAUUUUAUCCAAUUUUGCUAACAGCAGUCCAUUUUCAAUCUUAAAUUGGUUAAAAUACAGCAACGGAAUUGGGUAUUUAUUUAAGGUGACAAUGUAUAUUAUUUAUUAAACUCUUAUGUUUUAUUGUGCUUUCUAUUCUGGCUUUGAAAUUUGGGGCUAAGAAAAAGGUUGGGAUGUUCAUUGUUCAAGUAAUUUGAGAUAUUAGACGAUGCUAUUGAUGUAAUGAAAUUGGAAGAUGCUGUAAUUCAAAACAUGGUAAAGUCUCUGAUUUGUGUUCACAAGUUGCAAUCCUUGAUUGUUUUUCAUUGUAUUGGGUUAUUUUUCAUAAUAUUGGCAAUUUUGACAAAUGUACAAUGAUUUUAACUCCACUAUGUACAUACUUGGUCACCCAUGGAAGAAGUGUGAAAAGAUAAUUCAGCAAUUAUUUGGAAACCUUUCCUCAUGUUGGGAACCAAAAUGAGGUACAAGAAGCAAUGUAAAGUGUACUUCAAACAGAACUUGAGUUGUACGAGUAGGGUUAAAAUAGGAAAUUCACUUUAUUCACUCUCUCACCUCUGCUUCUACUCUUUCUUCUCUGGCUGACAACAUUGACAGCCAUUUUAAACCUUCAACGGAGUUAAACUUUGCUUCAGAGUCUCACUCCAACUUCUCAAGUUCGUUCAAUUGUUUACCUGGUAAGUAUUCUUGUGUGGUAUUGACCCUCUUCCCUUGUGAAUUUUAACUCUUUUUUUCCCAUUAUUGUGUUUAUGCUUCCUAUUAUUUUACUGAUUUUUCUUAUUUAUAGGUCUUCCACAAUUUUUCUCGGAUUCUUUUGAGUUCAGAUAGAUGCCUCUUGAAAUACAUGCAUAAUUUGUUUUCAAUAUUUUGCAGUUUCUAGCUCUAAAAUACUAAAAAAUAUUAGUAGUAUUUUCUUAUCAAUAUAUGAUACUUUUUGUAGAUAAUUAAUGGCUUGAUGCGGUAGCAUGUUUGCCGGAAUUUCCUGUGAAGGUAAGACUUGUGUGUUAUGAAGAGAGAUUAGUUACAAGAGUUGAUUGUUUUGGCAGAUGAUUGAAGGUGCUAAUGAAGUUGAACGGUGGGCUUAGGUGAAUAGACAUUUUCCCUUGUAAUAUCUUUUUUUCAUAUGGUAUUUUCCCCAAAAAAUAUUGAGUAAGAAUUUGAGUUGCCGAAUUCUUUGAUGCUGCCAUGAAAUUAGAAGUGAUAACGUAAUGCUGAAAAUUCUGGGUAAGCUUUCAGUAUUGAUCUUUUUGUUGUUUGAACUACAUUUUUGAAAAAAUUCAACUACUAAUAUAGUAA
rnacentral:lncRNA from 1 species